GUCCACGCCCUAAACGAUGUCAACUGGUUGUUGGGAGGGUUUCUUCUCAGUAACGAAGCUAACGCGUGAAGUUGACCGCCUGGGGAGUACGGCCGCAAGGUUGAAACUCAAAGGAAUUGACGGGACCCGCACAAGCGGUGGAUGAUGUGGUUUAAUUCGAUGCAACGCGAAAACCUUACCUACCCUUGACAUGUCUGAAAUCCUGGAGAGAUUCGGGAGUGCUCGAAAGAGAGCCAGAACACAGGUGCUGCAUGGCCGUCGU
rnacentral:rRNA from 1 species